rnacentral:rRNA from 1 species
AGGACGAACGCUGGCGGCGUGCUUAACACAUGCAAGUCGAGCGGAAAGGCCCUUCGGGGUACUCGAGCGGCGAACGGGUGAGUAACACGUGAGUAAUCUGCCCCUAGCUCUGGGAUAGCUCCGGGAAACCGGGAUUAAUACCAGAUACGACCACUUUAGACAUCUUCUGUGGUGGAAAGAACUUCGGCUAGGGAUGAACUCGCGGCCUAUCAGCUUGUUGGUGAGGUAACGGCUCACCAAGGCGACGACGGGUAGCCGGCCUGAGAGGGCGACCGGCCACACUGGGACUGAGACACGGCCCAGACUCCUACGGGAGGCAGCAGUGGGGAAUAUUGCGCAAUGGGCGAAAGCCUGACGCAGCGACGCCGCGUGGGGGAUGAAGGCCUUCGGGUUGUAAACCCCUUUCAGCAGGACGAAGCGAAAGUGACGGUACUGCAGAAGAAGCGCGGCUAACUACGUGCCAGCAGCCGC